AGGACGAACGCUGGCGGCGUGCCUAAGUACAUGCAAGUCGAACGGUCUUUCUAUGGAAGCUUGCUUCCACUGAGAAGAUAGUGGCGAACGGGUGAGUAACACGUGGGUAACCUGCCCAUAAGAGGGGGAUAACAUCCGGAAACGGGUGCUAAUACCGCAUAGUUUCUUGAUUGCAUGAUUGAGAAAGGAAAGACGGCCUUUGUGCUGUCGCUUAUGGAUGGACCCGCGGCGUAUUAGUUAGUUGGUGAGGUAACGGCUCACCAAGACGAUGAUACGUAGCCGACCUGAGAGGGUGAUCGGCCACAUUGGGACUGAGACACGGCCCAAACUCCUACGGGAGGCAGCAGUAGGGAAUCUUCCGCAAUGGACGAAAGUCUGACGGAGCAACGCCGCGUGAGUGAAAGAAGGUUUUUCGGAUCGUAAAACUCUGUUGUCAGAGAAGAACAAGUUGGAGAGUAACUGCUCCAGCCUUGACGGUAUCUGACCAGAAAGCCACGGCUAACUACGUGCCAGCCGCCGC
rnacentral:rRNA from 1 species